UUCUUAUGUGGUUCUGUAAGACCUCUUGGACUUUAUUUCAAGCCCUUAAACUCCUUUUGCUUUGUAGCAUCCCCUUCCACAUCUUAGAACCUGACGUCCCAGAAACUGAUGUCUGUACGCCUUCCUCUUCCUCCCUCCUUGCCUAAAUAAACCACAUCUACUUAUCUUCUUAAUCUUCUUGGUUUCCCUCUUUCUCAGCAAACCCUCCUAUUUUCCACUUCAUCCCUGGUUUACCAUGUUAUGUUGCAGUGUAAUGCCUGUUAUAACUAAAGACCAGGACACAUAAUUUAUCUGUGAAUCUGUGAGCAGAAAGAGCAGAAAGAAUGAGGGCAUCCAGUGUUAACCAUUUGACAAAACAAUAGAUAUAAUAUCUGCUGACUGAAACGAAAUUGGUCCUUUUACUGAAUAUCAGAAGCUAAUCUUAUUCUCAAAAGA
rnacentral:lncRNA from 1 species